rnacentral:rRNA from 1 species
GCUCAGGAUGAACGCUAGCUACAGGCUUAACACAUGCAAGUCGAGGGGCAGCAUGGUCUUAGCUUGCUAAGGCCGAUGGCGACCGGCGCACGGGUGAGUAACACGUAUCCAACCUGCCGUCUACUCUUGGACAGCCUUCUGAAAGGAAGAUUAAUACAAGAUGGCAUCAUGAGUCCGCAUGUUCACAUGAUUAAAGGUGUUCCGGUAGACGAUGGGGAUGCGUUCCAUUAGAUAGUAGGCGGGGUAACGGCCCACCUAGUCUUCGAUGGAUAGGGGUUCUGAGAGGAAGGUCCCCCACAUUGGAACUGAGACACGGUCCAAACUCCUACGGGAGGCAGCAGUGAGGAAUAUUGGUCAAUGGGCGAGAGCCUGAACCAGCCAAGUAGCGUGAAGGAUGACUGCCCUAUGGGUUGUAAACUUCUUUUAUAAAGGAAUAAAGUCGGGUAUGCAUACCCGUUUGCAUGUACUUUAUGAAUAAGGAUCGGCUAACUCCGUGCCAGCAGCCGCGGUAAUACGGAGGAUCCGAGCGUUAUCCGGAUUUAUUGGGUUUAAGGGAGCGUAGAUGGAUGUUUAAGUCAGUUGUGAAAGUUUGCGGCUCAACCGUAAAAUUGCAGUUGAUACUGGAUAUCUUGAGUGCAGUUGAGGCAGGCGGAAUUCGUGGUGUAGCGGUGAAAUGCUUAGAUAUCACGAAGAACUCCGAUUGCGAAGGCAGCCUGCUAAGCUGCAACUGACAUUGAGGCUCGAAAGUGUGGGUAUCAAACAGGAUUAGAUACCCUGGUAGUCCACACGGUAAACGAUGAAUACUCGCUGUUUGCGAUAUACGGCAAGCGGCCAAGCGAAAGCGUUAAGUAUUCCACCUGGGGAGUACGCCGGCAACGGUGAAACUCAAAGGAAUUGACGGGGGCCCGCACAAGCGGAGGAACAUGUGGUUUAAUUCGAUGAUACGCGAGGAACCUUACCCGGGCUUAAAUUGCAGAUGAAUUACGGUGAAAGCCGUAAGCCGCAAGGCAUCUGUGAAGGUGCUGCAUGGUUGUCGUCAGCUCGUGCCGUGAGGUGUCGGCUUAAGUGCCAUAACGAGCGCAACCCUUGUUGUCAGUUACUAACAGGUCAUGCUGAGGACUCUGACAAGACUGCCAUCGUAAGAUGUGAGGAAGGUGGGGAUGACGUCAAAUCAGCACGGCCCUUACGUCCGGGGCUACACACGUGUUACAAUGGGGGGUACAGAGGGCCGCUACCACGCGAGUGGAUGCCAAUCCCAAAAACCUCUCUCAGUUCGGACUGGAGUCUGCAACCCGACUCCACGAAGCUGGAUUCGCUAGUAAUCGCGCAUCAGCCACGGCGCGGUGAAUACGUUCCCGGGCCUUGUACACACCGCCCGUCAAGCCAUGGGAGCCGGGGGUACCUGAAGUGCGUAACCGCGAGGAGCGCCCUAGGGUAAAACUGGUGACUGGGGCUAAGUCGUAACAAGGUAGCCG